AGUGAACGCUGGCGGUAGGCCUAACACAUGCAAGUCGAACGGCAGCACAGUAAGAUCUUGCUCUUACGGGUUGCGAGUGGCGGACGGGUGAGGAAUACAUCGGAAUCUACUUUUUCGUGGGGGAUAACGUAGGGAAACUUACGCUAAUACCGCAUACGACCUACGGGUGAAAGCAGGGGAUCUUCGGACCUUGCGCGAUUGAAUGAGCCGAUGUGGGAUUAGCUAGUUGGCGGGGUAAAGGCCCACCAUGGCGACGAUCCGUAGCUGGUCUGAGAGGAUGAUCAGCCACACUGGAACUGAGACACGGUCCAGACUCCUACGGGAGGGAGCAGUGGGGAAUAUUGGACAAUGGGCGCAAGCCUGAUCCAGCCAUACCGCGUGGGUGAAGAAGGCCUUCGGGUUGUAAAGCCCUUUUGUUGGGAAAGAAAAGCAGCAGGUUAAUACCCCGCUGUUCUGACGGUACCCAAAGAAUAAGCACCGGCUAACUUCGUG
rnacentral:rRNA from 1 species